CUGAACUGUUAACACGAGUUGUUGCUGGUCCUCAAAUGGGGGCAUGUGCACGCUCUGUUUACAUACCCACUCACACCUGUGCACCCUCUGUAGUUCUGUGGUGUGGGGGACCCUGUCUUCCCACUGUGGUUCUAUGUCUUUACACACACACAGUGAUAAAGUCUUAUGGAAUGUACAUCGCGUUUAACGCAAUAUAAUA
rnacentral:misc_RNA from 1 species